GAUGAACGCUGGCGGCGUGCUUAACACAUGCAAGUCGAACGGGAUCCAAGGGGUGCUUGCACUUUUUGGUGAGAGUGGCGAACGGGUGAGUAACACGUGAGUAACCUGUCCUUUUCUUUGGGAUAAGCAUUCGAAAGGGUGUUUAAUACCUUAUGUUCUGUCUGCCUCGCAUGGGGUGGGUGGGAAAGGCUUUGGCCGGAUUUGGGUGGGCUCGCGGUCUAUCAGCUUGUUGGUGGGGUGAUGGCUUACCAAGGCUUUGACGGGUAGCCGGCCUGAGAGGGUGGUCGGUCACAUUGGGACUGAGAUACGGCCCAGACUCCUGCGGGAAGCAGCAGUGGGGGAUAUUGCACAAUGGGCGAAAGCCUGAUGCAGCGACGCCGCGUGGGGGAUGAAGGCCUUCGGGUUGUAAACUUCUUUUGCUCUGAACAAGGCAUGCCAGUGGGUGUGUUGAGUGUAGGGGUUGAUUAGCGCCGGCUAACUACGUG
rnacentral:rRNA from 1 species